rnacentral:lncRNA from 1 species
CCCAUCUCUACUAAAAUUGCAAAAAGUAUCCGGGCGUGGUGGCGCACGCCUGUAGUCCCAGCUACUCAGGACUCUGAAGCAUAAGAAUUGCUUGAACCCGGGAGGUGGAGGCAGCAGUAAGCUGAGAUCAUGCCACUGUACUCCAGCCUGGGUGAUGGAGUGAGACUGUUUAAAAAAAAUAAAAAUAAAAAAUAAAAAUAAAUAAAUUAAUAAAAGCAAGUGAGGGAAGUCAGAGAAAAGAGGUGAUGCUGUGGUCUGAACAUUUGUGUCCCCCCAAAUUCCUAUGUUGAAGUCAUAAUCCCCCAAAGUGAUGGUAUUGUGAGGGGGGCUUUGAGGAGGUGAUUAGGUCACAAAUGGGAUUAGUGCCAAAAGGGACCCCAGGGAGAUAGCCCCUUUCACCAUGUGUGGACACAGCAAGAAGGCAGCACCUAUAAACUAGGAAGGAGGCCCUCACUAGACUUGCAAUCUGCUGGCUUCCUGAUCUUGGCCUUUCUAGACUCCAGAACUGUAAGAAAUACAUUUCUGUUGUGAAUGAUUACACAGUUUAUAGUAUUUUAUUAUGGUAGCCUGAAUGGCCUAAGACACGUACUAAGAAGGAAAAGGAGAGUGCAGGGUGGGGGACGUUAAGAGGACAUGGAGAAAGAGAUAUAUUUUUCCAUUUUUAAAAAGGAAACUGAUUUGCUUUCAGAUGGGUGAAAGUUGUGGAAGAAUACAGACUGCGUGUGAACCCCAUCCUAAGGAAGAAGUCAGCUCAUGCACAUCCAGUGGAACCAUCUGAGACUUUCCUUGAGGGAUUGGCCCUCUAGUGAAGAGCAUGGAGUGGACUGGGCCAGGGAAAGAUCCUCAAAUAAUCGUUACAUGAAAAGAAAAGCAGACAAACUAAAUCAGCAACCAUCCCUUUGGAUGCCAGCUGACCUCGGAUGGAGAUUUAGUGCUAGAUGUAAAAGGCUUUGUUUACAGACAAUUAAAAACCACAUAAAUUUAAAUUGUCAAAGAAGAAAUGGUUUCCAAAGCUCCUAA